AAAGGAAGUAUAUACAGUUUGUGAAAUUAGUUUCCUGUCAUCUGUUUGGUUCUUGUGAGAUUCAUUUCCUGCUACCUUUGGUUCUGGUGAAAUCUGUUUCCUGCUUCCUGUUCGGUUCGAUGUGGUAAUUGAACGUGUGAAUCUGUGGUUUCCAUGGGGACAGCCAAUUUCAGUCUUGCAACUCUCUAAUGAUGGGGGGGGGCACGGCCCGAGCCUCCUCUCUGCCAGUCACACGUGUCCGAAGCGUAGGAAACCAUGGAAACCAGUCAACCAACACAAAGCCCCAAGGCGGAGGUUGGACGGGAUGCCACCUGCUCAUUGGUCCAUCCCGGGUCAACGACAGGACUGCGAAAACUGUCAAGUCAGACUCCCAGAGGCAAACACGGACACUUGUGACAACUCUGGCAAAAUGUCCCAGAUGUCCGUUACUAGAGUAAUGGGCACGGAGUGGCAAACGCAGAGUGUGACUGAUUCAGCUGUGUCAGGCCUAAGGGGGAAUUACGGAGAGAAAUGGGGGGGGGGGGUGUAUAUAAAAAGGGCUAUAAUUCGUGCAUGAAUCACCUGAUAUGGAUGUACAUACCCUCAGAUUAAAGUGGACAGUCUGCAAUUUAUAUUCACUGCUGUAUUUCAAAUCCAAUGUGCUGAAGUAUACAAAAAAAAUCAACAAAAAGUCA